AUAAAUAAAGUAGAUCUGGUCUGGUAAUAACUUUCUGCUUCAGGUCAAAGUUGAUUGGCACAACAUAAAGGGUCAAAGGUCAUCCAAGGAGCUGAUCAGGUCUGAUAGCUGCUGGAUUAGCAUGGAUUAGGUCUGCAGAUUAAAACUGUUUCACACAAACUUCAGACUGAAGGAAAGCGGCUGUAAAACGAUGGAUUAUAAUCUGGAAAUAUAAUCCUGGAUUAAAAUAAACAGCAACAGCAUGAAAAACUAUAAUGCUCACUGGUUUAAUCCAGUCUAAUUCAGUCAGAGUCUGGCCUUUAUUGGUUAUAAUCCAGUCUAAUCCAGUCAAAAUCUGGCCUUUAUUUGUUAUAAUCCAGUCAGAAUCUGGCCUUUAUUGGUUAUAAUCCAGUCAGAAUCUGGCCUUUAUUGGUUAUAAUCCAGUCUAAUCCAGUCAGAAUCUGGCCUUUAUUGGUUAUAAUCCAGUCUAAUCCAGUCAGCCUGGCCCUUACUGGUUAUAAUCCAGUCUAAUACAGUCAGCCUGCUCCUUAUUAGCUAUAAUCCAGUGCAAUCCGGC